GGUGGGGGGCGAGAGGCGGGGCCGCAGCGUGACGUCAGAGAACAAUGACACCGCUGGGGGCGGGCACGGGGAGGCGGCACGGGCGGGAGUCUCCCCCGGGGCCCGGCGGGCGGAAGAAGUCCUAGCCGCUGCCUGAUUGACGAGGGCUGGAGAGAUCACUCCUUCCAUCGCCGGGAGAGAGGAGGCAACGUGAAUUCAUUCCCAAGGCUCUGGUAGUCUGACAGCCAGUGAACUCAGCCUGGAAUUCCUGAGGGCUCGGAGCCUGCAGCUCGGGGCCCCAGGGACGUGAUGUGUCUGUGUGCGUGUGCGGAACCUGUUUGAUUUUCCCAGUGGAAACCCUGCCUUCUCCUGCCACUGGGCGCUAGGGAAGGUGCUCCUUUCCAGCCUCCUUGGCCUUCUGAUCUGUCACGCACGGAAUGGACUGUUACCGCCGUGGCUCCCCCACCCACCCACAGGUGGCAGCUGAGUAUCUCUGGGGAGAGUGGGUGGUAUGCAAUCACUUCCUGACCUCUGGGGACACCCGGAGGCACAGUCCCAGUAAAUUCCUGUGGGAGGGAGUCCCUGCUUCUCAGCCUGUGGGUGGCCCAAGUUCACAGGUGGCUGGAGGGCAGCCUGAGAAAGCCUUGAAGCCCUAACUUGUAAGGUGGGAAUUCAGCUUGCUGCCUGGUCGCUAGACCUACAGCUCUCCCAACCCCAGCCUCUUCCAGCAUUGCAGUGAGCAGAAAGCCACGCCACCCCCAGGUCUAAAAUCCCGCAGUGGAGUUUCCAAGCAUUUAAGGACUUUGGAUGCACGAAACCAGCCCCAGCCAGAAACUGGGCCAGUUCCUAUUGCCUUGAUGGUACCAGGUCAGGACACUGGGCCCUCUCGGCUUUCUGUCCAAAUCCCUCAGUGAAUAUCCUGGGCUGACCAUCUCCAGGAAGUGGGGGAAUUCGGAUGACCUCAGGGUGAUCACUCAUGUUCAGAAGCUCCUAUCCAGAAGCUUCCAGCCAGUAUUUAUACCUGGGGAAUGAGGAAGUGGCCACAGAGGAGCCAAGCAGAACCAGGCCUUAGCAGCCCACAACCUGGGGUAAGGCCAGCCCUCCCUAGAUGUGCAAGCAGGGCACUUAGAGCAGCAAGUCUGAGAAACCCCACCCAGGCUUCUUGGGGACUGGAGCCCCACUCCUUGCUCUUGGAGGACCUGGCCAUCUCUGACAUCUUCCAGGGGAAAGAUCAGAUCUUACCAGAGGGCAGGUCAGAUCACUCGGAGGUCUUGGAUGAUGCUGUGACCUAUUCAGUGCCUACUGUGUGCUGAGGACAGUGGGGCGAGGAUCCUGGGUAGUAGUUUAAGGAACUGGAGUUGUGUAUAUUACAAGUCCAUACUGGAUCCAGAUGCAAACUCAAGUCCUUGGUACCAUUUUCCUGCUGGCUGCAGCCUAGCUCCUCAUCUACACUGAUGGACUCUACGCAUGGCCCAAACAACUGGGUUUCCCUCUCUGGGCCUUGUUAGCUUAAGGGCAAGGUUCCCUGCCAGUGAUGUCUUCGUGAGGCCUAUGUAUCUUGAGACCGCAGUCUCUCCACCUCAGCCUGUCUGGUCCAGGAAGUCUGAAGUGAGGCAGAGAUGAAAGUGCCAUAGUCCCAGCCCUGGGACCUGGAAGAUUAUCCUUGUUUUGCCAGGGCUGGCCAGGCAUCACCUGGAUCCAGAGGCAGCUUCAGGACCCAUUAUGGGGGUGCAGGCUGCAUGGCACAGCCCUCAGGUGCUCAUACAGGGUCUUGGCUUGCCCCACAGACUGGGAUGCUAUUCAUUUCCCCUCCCUGGAAACCAUCAUCAGAACAAAGAGGCCAUGGCUGAGAGCAGGACCCAGAUCUCAGAAGGCUGAAGUCACAGGCUCAGGUAGUGAAAGGCUUCAGGCCCCUGGGCACACAGGACAUGUGCAGAGUACAGUGAGUAUGGCCAGCUGGUCCAGGAGGCCCUUUGCAGUCUGGGAGAUGGGGACAGGUGCGUGUGGGGCUGUUUUCUUGUCCCAGUGACUGCCUUCUCUGUCCGAACUCCCACCCCUAACCCCUGAUGGGAGCCAGGGACAUUUGGAUUGGUCCUGGGGAGGUGGAAGGAAAAUCACAUGUGUGGAGAGCUGACUGUGUGCCAGGCACUAGGGAAACCUUCUUCCAUCCGUGUCACAAGCCAGGUGUCACUGCGGCCGCAGGAAGGUCCUCAGAGGCUCUGUGACCUGCUGGUGAUCUCAGCUGUUAGGUGGGUGACACAAGGGUUGGGCUUACGGUCUGGCUGUUCCUGGGGGUAGAAAAUGGUGUUUUGCCCUCAUCUUAUUGCCAUCUAUGGUAAGAAUGAGGUGGCCUGCAGGUUCUUUGGGGUAAAGACCAUCACCCAUGUGCAAGGGAAGUUGAGGGUCCUUCCUAUGGCUGUGAUAUGACAGAGAAUGCAUUUAGCAUUCACCCCUUGGUGGAUCCAGGAAGCACUGGGCGCUGCGUAGCUUUGCGCCUGAGCCUCCCACAGGUGGAUGGUCAAGUACAGCAGAGAGGUACAAUGUCCUUGCUUGUUGGACUCUCAGCUCUGCCUCUUUGUGUUGUUCCAAUAGGAUUUCCCCUCCCUUCUCUGAGUCCAGCACCUGGCCUUGACUCUCCAGGACCCUUCUCCUGGGCCAGUGUCUCACUCUCCACCAUGGAGCUCUGCUCUCCUUGCUCCUGGUUCCACAUCCAGUUCAGUCCCCCACCUCCACCCCCAGGGAGACCCUGAGAGUAGACAGAUCUGCUUCAGCGUGGGCACAGCUGGGUACCCACCCCACCAUGCCUACCUGCAUAUGGCAUGAGCACAUCACAGCCUCCCUGUGCUUCCGUUUCCCCCUCUACCAGGUUCAAAAGCUUGAGUACCUAGGGUGAAGAGUGAACUGUCCAGUGGCACUUUGGCCUCUGAUCGUCCUGUGAGCCUUUCACCCUUGGGUUGACCUGUAGUCCACUUUAGGUUUCUGGGGCACUGCUUCAAGAAGCACACUCACAGGGGCGCCUUCAGUGGGGUAGGGGCAGGAAACUGAUAGGUACAGCAAGGAGCUGCCCAGGACAGGAGACAUCUAGGGCUGAAGAAGUAGCAACUCUCACCCUUGCUCAUAGAGCAAUUCUCAUCCUCUGAGCCACACAAUAGCACUUUUAUGGGUGACUAAACAGUCCUAAAGGGAGGUGGUGGCUUCCCCAGAGCCAUGUAGCUGGGCAGUGCCAGCAGUGCCUGAGAACCCCUUAUCCUCCUGCAGGACCCUUUCCUCUGGCCCUGGGAGCCAUGCACAGAGCACCGGGGUGCAGCAGGCUGGGACAGCAAGUGGAAGACUGCACCUCCUGCCUCUCGACAUUGCGCCGACCUUCAGGCUGCUGGCCUCAGGGCUAGUGCUCCCUUGCCCUGACCUUGUCCUUUCACCAUGCUGGGUGGCUUCCAGAAUUGCUAGCUAGCAUUCUGUGCUCAUUCUUUCCUUCCUCCUGGGACACACCUCUCCCAGUCUUCAAGGCCACAGCCACAGCUGCCUACCUGGGAGCCUGUCUUGGUGUCUUGGCCAGACGUACUGCUGGCCUCCUCUCUAUUCUGGGUGCUACUGGCUUUGCCUGCUGCUUAGCUACCAUGCAAAAGCUUGUUAAAUUCUUAACAUGUGCCAGGCCCUGAGUAGCUCAACUGUUUGAGCUCCUGUGAUCCUCAUCUGAGCUGUAGGUUAGUAUUAACCGUUCCAUUUUACAGCUAAGGAAACUGAGGCAUGGGGCGUUUCAUUUGCCCAGUGUGGUACCUUAGCAUAGGCUGCAGGGUACAGGGUGGCCCGCUGCUCCGUCCUGUCAUCAGUACAGCACCCGAGGGGCUGGCAGGCAGUAAAGUGCGGUAGAAGGCACAGGGGCACACAAGAUGGACUCCCAAGGCCCCAGGAAGGACUGUCCCCAUCAAAUGCCACUGUAAGAGCAAGGAAAGUAAAGCGCCAACAUCGUGUGGGGCCUGGAAGACAAGCUGUUGUGGAGGCUGUGGGGAAACAGAUCAGAGUGGGGCACAGACCUGCCCAUGGUCACUGGGCAGCAGCGGGGCUGCAGCUAGGGCUCCCAGUCUGGUGUGGCUUCCUAUACCUUGUAACCAGCUGUGGGGCCCCUGCAAAUGCUUUUUUUUCAAGGACACAAUGCCAGACGCCUCCAGGAUGCUGAGCUGUUCAAUGAAUGACUCCCCCCACCCAUUAAAAUAGAAAAAAGAAGAGAGAGAGAAGAAGAAAGAAAGAAAUCCAGGCAUUGUUCACAACCACAGCUGGUGCCAACCAGAAUCCCGCGGAAGAGAAUGGAGCGGGAGCCUGCUGCCCAGGGGCCUGGCUGCUGACACAGGCCCUUUCUGUUCGGCUCCCCACUGUGGCCCCUCCGUGGACGCCCUCCACCUGCCUCCAUGGCCCCAGAGCCCAGUCUCCUGCUACCUCACCAACUUUGAUAAAUCCAGGUGCCACCAGCA